CUUGAUUUUAUUUGACAGAUUGUUCACUUUCUCUUUGAGCUGGAAGGAGGACUUUUGCAAGGGUGGAAACAGACUCCAUCUCUUGAAACCUACUGUCCGCCACCUCUGAUCAUAGAAGCGACGCAGGACCCUCCGUCUAUGGUGACACUGGCACCUGAGGAGCCGAGUGAAAGCCCUCUGGAACUCUUUGCUGGAGCAGGGGUAGAUCAUGGGGUUGAUGCAGCUGUUGAAGUAGCCCAACCAAAAGACAACCUUGAAGACAGUUUCAGAUGGCUUCAGUGCCGGAAUGAAGGAACCUAUAGAGAAGAAGGAACUGGGUAGGAAAGAAUUAUCAAGGAGACCCUGGAUCUGCUUCUGUGCUGUUUGACUCAUACACUACAAACAACACAUAAUUGGUCUUAUCUCCCCAGGCCUGGAUUUAACACAGAGUUCACCCUGGACACAGAGGCAGCAUAUCACAGUACUAAUGUCAAGUCUGCACUGCCUGGGCCCAGAAGUCCAUUUUCAUUUCAGUUCGGAUAAAUAAAUGGAUUAACAGACCCUCUCAGUGAAAUGACAUCACCUCAAGGGGGACAGAAAGUGAUUCACCAUUCUGACGCACAAUUGCAGCAACCCUGACAACAGGUUUUUUGGUGUGUUUGUUUGUUUUAUUGCCUUUGAGAUAACCAUAUCUUUUAAGUCCAGUGUCUGCAAGCUGAUUGCCAUCUUCAGUCCCUUCUGAGGAUGUAAUUUUUUAAGUUCACAUCAGCUUGUAUCCCAGCACAAAUCCUAAAAUCAAGCAACAAAUGAAUGCUUUGAAUACACAUUGAAGCUAGAUGAGGAGUCUGGGGACCUGUCCAAUUUCCCCUGCAAAAUUUUUUAUGGCUCUUUUGUGUAAGCAGACAGAAUCCUGAUCAGUCCUCAGUUUCAGAGCUUACAGCAUUAUCUCCUUGACAUUUAAUGUUCUGUGUGAAGAUCAGUAUUUGACACUGGGCUUUUUAAAACUCAACCUUAUAUGGCCACCAAGGGCCUCGCUGGUUCAUUGAAUACAUGCAUUAUGGUAAGCAUUUGUAGUUAGCCAUACUGACCAAAUGACCAUAAUAGCCAUAGCAAUACUUUCCAACUUGAAACUUAAAAGAUGUAGGACAUUGUGCCUUUAUACGGGUUGGAUUUAUUUCAGGAAGGAGGGGAAAGCUUUAAGGAAAGCGAAUUAUAACAUUGCUGGGUAAUUAGUGCUAAAAUGCAAAUUCUACAUUCCCUGUGCAAUAUGGUUGUGUUUGAUAUUUUUUGCAUUACACCAGGAGAGAGACACUAUUCAAAGUAAUGCUGAAAGGUUGUUUCUCUUUAUUCCAUCGCUCUCUGGCAAUAAAAAAAAUUGUAUUCAUGAGUCGAAUGCACUAAUAUAAGUAAAUGGUGCUAGGGCACUCUCACUAGAGUUUUAGAUGAGUCAGACUACUCUGUCUAGAUUUGCAUCAUCACAGAGAAAGGGCCUGAUUGGCAUAAGAGGUGCUAAAAGUACAUGUCUGCCUCUCAGCAAAAGGUUACUCAUUAAUGAUGUGUCUUUACAAAGCACUGAGAUCAAUUUGUAUGACUGACCAAGUAUGGGUAAGCAGGGCAAGGACCUGCAGGUUGUUGCCUCACUACACUCAUCAAUCAGCCAUUGAAGAAACAAACAGCAACUCCCCCCAGGGACAAAUUCAUUAAAACAACAAUGUAACACUUUAUUGAUCCCUGCGGGGACUUGAUGUUUUAAACUACUUCCACCAGGGAGUUCAAAGUUCAGGGUCAAAUUAGAGAACAGCAUGUCUGAGGGGAUUCAACAGGACAGAUGGUUUCCAUCAAGGAGCUUAAAUUCCUGUAAAAGUUUAUUAGGCUUUAACAAUCACAGAUGAUAAAGGUUAUCUGUGGUCUGACUUGCUUUAUUAUGCAAAUUAGAGUCUUCUACCAUCUACCGGGAAUCAAAAAUUUAAAACAACAACUUAAGGUUACAUCAGACAUAUUUCUCUAAGAUAAUGAUUUGUUUUGGCAGAGUUCCUUUUUAUUUUCUCUUCUGAAUACUGAUUUACUAAGUUGUACUACACAGGGUAAUCAUCCUUGAGAUCUUGGAAGAUGUUUCCCAAGAGCAGGCUGUGAUAUGUGAUCACUAAAAUCUAUAUGUUCAAUAUGAUAAUUUAGAUUUUAAAAAAUUAUAUGAUUAUAGUUUGUUGUUUGUUAUAAUCAACUCAGAACUUAUGUUUCAGAAUGGCCUCGAUGUGUAAAUACAAGUAAGUAGGUGAUGAAUGUAAUAACAAAUAUAAUGCCCCAUUGUGUUAAGCUGUGUUGAUUUGUACAAAUACUUUUUUGUUUGAAACUCAUUUAUGUCUUGACUCAUUUUCAGUCAUAAGGAGAGGUGGAGCAUCUAUCUGUCUUUGACUUCUGGAUACAAAUAAGCUUGCCCUUUCCUUUCCCAUUGAGUGAAUUAAGUGAUUAGCAGCACCCAUUUCAUUUCUAGCAC